UGCCAGCCGCCGCGGUAAUACAGAGGGCUCAAGCGUUAAUCGGUGUCACUGGGCUUAAAGGGUGCGUAGGCGGACCUGUAAGUGUUUUGUGAAAUCCCACGGCUCAACCGUGGAAUUGCUUGGCAUACUGCAGGUCUUGAGGUCGGUAGGGGCUGCCGGAACUCUAGGUGUAGCGGUGAAAUGCGUAGAUAUCUAGAGGAACGCCAAAGGUGAAGACAGGCAGCUGGGCCGAUCCUGACGCUGAGGCACGAAAGCGUGGGUAGCGAACGGGAUUAGAUA
rnacentral:rRNA from 1 species